rnacentral:SRP_RNA from 1 species
GCUGGGCACGGUGGUGCAUGCCUGUAGUCCCAGCUACUCAGGAGGCUGAGGUGGGGGGAUCGCUUGAGCCCAAGAGUUCUGGGCUGUAAUGCACUAUGCCGAUUGGGUGUCUGCACCAAGUUCGGCGUCAAUAUGGUGACCUCCUGGGAGUGGGGGAACCACCAGGUUGCCUAAGGAGGGGUGAACCAGCCCAGGUCGGAAAUGAAGCAGGUCAGAACUCCCUUGCUGAUCAGUAGUGGGAUCGUGCCUGUGAAUAGCCACUGCACUCCAGCCUGGGCAACAUAGCAAGAACCUGUCUCU